rnacentral:rRNA from 1 species
UACGUAGGGGGCCAGCGUUGUCCGGAAUCAUUGGGCGUAAAGCGCGCGUAGGCGGCCCGGUAAGUCCGCUGUGAAAGUCCAGGGCUCAACCCUGGAAAGCCGGUGGAUACUGCCGGGCUAGAGUCCGGAAGAGGCGAGUGGAAUUCCUGGUGUAGCGGUGGAAUGCGCAGAUAUCAGGAGGAACACCAAUGGCGAAGGCAGCUCUCUGGUACGUAACUGACGCUGAGACGCGAAAGCGUGGGGAGCGAACAGG